AMAAGAGUACGUGAAACCGUUCAGGGGUAAACCUGAGAAACCCGAAAGUUCGAAUGAGGAAAUUCAUUCGCGUUUCGUUAUCGAAGACGGAAGUCGUAGCGACGGAUAGACGAUCAUUUUUUUGUUCGUCGACCGCGCUUUUCGUUCGUCUAGUCGGAUUUCGAACGCGUGCACUUUUCCUCUAGUAGGACGUCGCGAUCCGUUGGGUGUUUGUCUAAAAGUCAGAGUGGAGCCCUCGAGGCGUCACUUGGACCUCUGAAUCUUCGACAAACUCGCUCGACGGUAGAAAUGAGGCGCGAGGCCGCUAGAUUCGCGUGCGAUUCGAAAGAAUAGCGCGCGAUCGAAUUAGCGUUCGACCCGUGGCAAGCAAGUUUGCGUAUUAGACGGCGAUCGGACCCGGUGCCGAUCCUGUCACGUUAACACUGUUGGCUUGCGGUGUUCUCGAACAGACCUCGUCGAAACGCCGAUCGGCGACGCUAUAGCUUUGGGU
rnacentral:rRNA from 1 species